GAGUCUAGCAUGUGCGCGAGUCAUUGGGACUCGACUAAACCUAAAGGCGCAAUGAAAGUGAAGGUUCGCCUCGCGCGGACCGAGGGAGGAUGGGCCGGUCCUCGGACCGGCUCCGCACUCCCGGGGCGUCUCGUUCUCAUCGCGAGAAGAGGCGCACCCAGAGCGUACACGCUGGGACCCGAAAGAUGGUGAACUAUGCCUGGUCAGGACGAAGUCAGGGGAAACCCUGAUGGAGGUCCGUAGCGAUUCUGACGUGCAAAUCGAUCGUCGGAACUGGGUAUAGGGGCGAAAGACUAAUCGAACCAUCUAGUAGCUGGUUCCCUCCGAAGUUUCCCUCAGGAUAGCUGGCGCUCGCUGCGUGCGAGUCUCAUUCGGUAAAGCGAAUGAUUAGAGGCAUUGGGGUCGAAACGGCCUCAACCUAUUCUCAAACUUUAAAUGGGUGAGAUCUCCGGCUUGCUUAAACGGUGAAGCCGCGAGAUAUCGGAUCAGAGUGCCAAGUGGGCCACUUUUGGUAAGCAGAACUGGCGCUGUGGGAUGAACCAAACGCCGAGUUAAAGCGCCCAAAUCGACGCUUAUGGGAUACCAUGAAAGGCGUUGGUAACUUAAGACAGCAGGACGGUGGCCAUGGAAGUCGGA
rnacentral:rRNA from 1 species